rnacentral:rRNA from 1 species
GACAGAGGUCCCGAGCGUUAGGCGGAAUCACUGGGCUUAAAGCGUGUGUAGGCGGAUCGUUAAGUGUCUUGUGAAAUCCCACGGCUCACCCGUGGAACUGCUGGGCAUACUGGCGAUCUUGGGCCAACUAGGGGCAACUGGAACAAGCGGUGGAGCGGUGAAAUGCGUAGAUAUCGCUUGGAACGCCAAAGGUGAAAACAGGUUGCUGGGGUUGUGCCGACGCUGAGACACGAAAGCCAGGGGAGCAAACGGG